CAGAUGGUUAGUCAAAUGUCAUUUCUAGGAGCAUCCACAUAAUCUCAGCAAACAUAGCCUGUAGGAUUGGGCCAAUUAAAAAAAAAAAGAGCAUCCUUUACGUCAACUGUCAUUUUAAUGACAUUGACAGGACAGUAUCCACUCAUUCAUUCGCUGAUUUUGCUCGCUCAUUCAAUCAAUCAUUCAUUCACUCAAUUCUUUUCGAAAUUCCGAGAAAAAAAUCUUGAUUCCGAAAUAUUCGGAAAUAAAAGCAAACAAAUAAUGGUCAUUUUACCGUAUUUACAUUGUUUACCGUAUAAACAAGAUGGUUUCUUAUUAUCACCAAAUGCAUCGUGACUGGUUGCUCGUCCACCAAGUCCAGGGUUUUUUCUCUAGCACGUGAUGAAGCAUUGCAGGCUCUAAGGAUACAGUACCUCCUCCUGCCUGCAAAUCCUUUAUGAGGAACUAUGACAAAGGAGCAACUUCGUCAAAGAAAGGUCUGCCAAUCACAUUUUGAGGAUAAAUAAAUCUAAAACAAUCUAUUGGUUAUGACAAUGAUGAAUGGAUGUCCUAUUUUUAUUUAUCCAUGAAGAAAAUAAUAACAUCUCGGCGACCAUCCAAGCUGUUGCUGAUCAGGUCAUCCAGUAAGUUAAACUGCUAAUAGAGAUAACUUCAAUUCAAUGUUGUUGCCAGAUAAUGCUGUGAGUGAAGAAACUAUAUCCUGCCAUCUACAUCAGAGCCACAUCUGUCAUUAUGGAUAAUAUUAUUGCUGCGUCCUAAGGUUCAGCUUGCAAAUAAACCCAUCAAGCAGAGGCGGUACACACAAACAAAAGGUGGACUCUUUGGUUUUUUAAAACGGAGCCCGAAAGCGUAUGAGCUAUUGCGCCACAUAUUUAUUUUGCCUAGUCAACGAUCAAGAAAAUGAAGGUAUUGAGUGAAAAAACUGCCGCAAUGAUACAGCCCCAAAUUUGAUUCCGGCCCAGUGUAUAGUUUUUUAACUAAAGUUUUUUGUUAUUUUUGCCUCAAGAAUGUACUUAUUGUGAAUUUCUUUGUUAAUGGCUGUAUAGUUUUACUUGAGUCAAAGAAAAUCGUAGUUGUUGUAUAAAAAAAUAAUUUAUAAAUCUAUUAGGGUACAUUUUACUGUCGUCUUUUUUUUCUUAGAAACUUGCAGUAGAUUAUUCACUUUUUUGGAAACUGAUAAUUACUUGUUAAUACCAUAAUUUAUUAUGGAAAAUUGUACUGUUAAGUAGGUAAUUUUUUUUCAUUACCUUAUAGUAGAUAAUGUCUUUUGUUGAUGGCUGUAUAGUUUUACGCAAGUUAAAGAAAAUCGUAGUAUUUUUUUUUCUACACAAAUUUUAGUUAUAAGAUGACAUAUAUGAUUGUUUGUUUGUUUGUAUUGAAGAGGCUCCGAAACUAAGUACUGGACCAAUUUGAAAAAUUAUUUCACAAUUAGAAUCCUUUAUUUUCCCUAAUGAAGAUAGGCUAUAACCGGAUUUUUACAGGCGGUACGAAGUUCGCCGGGUCAGCUAGUUUCUUAUAAACAUGCAAAUACGGUAAAAAUGAUUCAUUUUGUUAAUGGCUGUCUAGUGUUACGCAAUUACAGGUAAUCAUCAUUUUUAUUGUAAACAGAAUUAGGUACCAUUUAUUUAUAACUAGCUUUUGCCCGCGGCUUCACCCGCGUGAAAUUUAGUGCCACAGAUUGGCAUAAAUUAUACCCUAUAUGUUAAUCUAGAUUACAAAUAAUAAUACUGUAAAGGUUCAACCAAAUCCGUUCAGUAGUUUUUGCGUGAAAGAGUAACAAACAUCUACACAACCUUUAUAAUAUAGUAGGAUUUAUAGUCAGCGACAAUAGAAAUGUUCGCUCGCUUGAAAUUUUGUAAACAAUUAUUGCAAAAAGUUAAUAUUAAUUUAUAUUAUUCUGUUCUGUUGGCUUCAAUGGUGGGUACCUAUUUAUUUCAAUAAGUUAAACUCUAGGUAAAAUUGACAUUUAGUAUGGAAAUGUUCGGGAAGCUUCGCCAUAUACUCAUGUCCGAAAUACCGCAGUGUCUCAAGACAAAAGUCUUCGAGCAGUGUGUGUUGCCAGUGUUGAUAUAUGGAUCCGAAACGUGGUCGCUUACUAUGGGCCUCAUAAGAAGGCUCAAGGUCACCCAAAGGGCGAUGGAGCGGGCUAUGCUCGGAGUUUCCCUGCGUGAUCGAAUCAGAAAUGAGGAGAUCCGUAGGAGAACCAAAGUAACCGACAUAGCUCGCAGAAUUGCUAAAAUCAAGUGGCAGUGGGCGGGGCACAUAGCUCGUAGAGACGAUGGCCGUUGGGGCAGGAAAGUUCUCGAGUGGCGACCACGGGCUGGAAAACGUAGCGUGGGCAGGCCUCCUACUAGGUGGACCGACGAUCUGGUAAAGGUCGCGGGAAGAGCCUGGAUGCGGGCAGCGCAGGACCGUUCAUUGUGGAAAACCUUGGGGGAGGCCUUUGUCCAGCUGCAGUGGACGUCAUUUGGCUGAAACGAACGAUGGAAAUGUAAUUUUAAACCAGUGUUCAUCCCUUUCAUAGAGGAGGUUUAAUUCUCUAAGGUUCAUCCCGGGCUUAAUUUUUUUUGUAUAAUGGGUUUUAUGACUGAAAUUGACUCAAACAGAGAUAAAAUAACUAAGAGUCUUUAACAUUUACUUACUUGGCAAUUAAAGAUAGAUUUACUCAAAUCCUACUUCGUACUAUGUAAUAUUAUAAAUGCGAAAGUUUGUAUGGACGUCUGGAAUCUGAAUGUUAACAGGUUUGUUACUUUUUCACGCAAAAACUACUGAACGGAUUUUGAUGAAACUGCAGUAUUAUACUUUAUAACCCAGAAUAUCUUUGAAUGCAGUUCCCUUUCUUUACAAAAAUAAAGGAAUGUUUCCUUUGAGUAAAAUUUUCUAUCUACAGUAUUAAGAGUACUUUCCCUACAGGUGGCAUUACAAAGUUCCACCCUGUAUAAUUUAUGACGAUCUUUGACAAACUAAAUUUCAUGCGUGUGAAGCCGCGGGCAGCAGCUAGUUACUAAAUAUUAUGUCAUAAAUAGUUCAGUCUCAAUGUUAUUGAUGAAAAUAAAGCCCAACUAGACUUUAUUUUCUAUUGGCGCGGUAGGUUUUCUUUUAUUUUUCUUAAAAACCUACAGUUGAUGAUUCUGUGAAUUAAUGACUGUAUAGUUUUACUUACUAAUAGUAUUUCAUAGUUUCCUAAGUUUAUGGUGCUUACUUAUAAUUAUCGAGUUCAGCGGAUGAUUUUUUAUUCCAUUAUUAUUUUGUAAUUUUCCUUACGGAAUAAGAAAUCAUCCGCUUGGUAUAUUAUCUUCGAACGUGUAGAUAAUUCUAAGAUGUACUUCAUGUUCAGACUCAAGUGCUCAAAAGAUAGGACCACCUUUGUAAUUUUGUCGAUAGUUGUAUGCAUUAGUUUUUAAGUUGUAUUUUUAUGAAAUAAAUUUUUUAAUAAAACUUA